rnacentral:lncRNA from 1 species
CUUUCAUGUACAAUUGCACUUUGUUUUACCGAUGCAUACAUUCAAUUAAAAUCCUUUGAGAUCACCUGCCUGGCAGGUAGAUAGAUCAAAGCAAUCGAUUUCAUUGUAUGUAAUACAAUGUGUAGUGUCAGAUAGAUCCGAGAUUGAUUUACAAAGCGAAUCAAGACAUAACACGUGACAAAACAUCAAGAAACAGUAUGACAUCCAAAUCGAUUCAUUAUUUUGUAAAACACAAAUAUUAUUAUGAUUUUACAAGUGGCUAAAUAUUGGCAAAAUACAGUAACGAGCAAGUUCUUUUCGUUUCGUUACAUGUAAAAUGAAUUUAACGC